rnacentral:siRNA from 1 species
UUUGAACAGACCUUAAGGAUGA